GCUCCGGUGGCAUAGUGGUUAGAGCAUCCGGCUCUGAUGCUGGAUGUCGUGGGUUCGAACCCCGACCGAGUCG